rnacentral:ncRNA from 2 species
CAACGUCUUCAGGGCGGGGCGAAAUUCCCCACCGGCGGUAGGCACAGCUGCAACGCAUGUUGCAGGGUCUUUGCGAGCCCGCGAGCGCUCCUGGCUCCUUGCCAGGAGGUCAGCAGAUCUGGCACCACACCAGAGCCGACGGUCACAGUCCGGAUGAAAGAAGAUGAGC